ensembl:antisense Gm15723 predicted gene 15723
CAGCACCGGGCGCCCGGGCACACGCCGCCCCCGCCCCUGUGCGCCUGCGGCUCGCCUGUCCUCCCGGGCGCCGCACUCUACCAGGGUGGCGGCGGCGGUUGCUCUCUCCUCGGCUCGGCCAAGAGGACAGAGAGCGCUGGGGAGAGCGACUGAGUCGGGGGACAAGUUAGGGCUUCACCAGCCCCCCGCACUCUGGCAGCGUUGUUCCGUCUUCUGGGUGGGAUGUGCUCGCCAAAACAGUUGCGGCGGUGGCAGCGGCGGCAGCCCGGAAGGCGCUGGAGCCUUCCACCCCGCAGUGGAAGAGGAGAGGAUGGACCAGAGGACCGAGGAAAGGACUGGAGUAAGCUAGCCGGAGGAAGUCCCACGGCCGCGGAGCAUCCGUCCUGAAGAAGCCUUCUCCACCCUGGACACUUUAAGCAGUGGUGGCGGUAAAAGGCGUGAGGUUGCGGACUGGGCAGCAAGCCUCCCGCGUUCCGAUGAUGCUCUGCCCUCCAGAGAAGACAAGUGAAGAAGUGUCCGGUCGGGGUGUCCACUUCAGGGAGCACCAUCUCCCCUUCCAUAAGAACGUACUCAAAACAUGAACGGUCUUCCCAUACUCUG